CUGACACAGCAUUACUGGAUGGAGGAAGAUUCUGAUUAACAGAAGAUGAUUCACGAACCAUGGAUCAGCUGAAAUGUUUGAAAAUGUUGUUCACAUGUGUUGAACUGACUGAAGCUUCCAGUCACAGUGAAUCAGUGUGUGUCAGUGAAUGCAUCAUGUGUGCUUCACUGCUCCAUCUAGUGGACUGAUAGUAGAGCAGCUGAUGGCAGCUUCCUCUGCCUCACACUGCUGUCUGACUGCAUUCAGCUGACACUGAGAUGAAGCAGGAAAGAAGCAGCUGAUAUUUGGACAGCACACAUGAUGGAAAGGAGGAUUUCAGUUGAUGUGCACAUGAAUGAUUUGUGUUUCCUCUGCAGGUAGAAAGUGUGUGUGAGCUGAAUUGAGCAGCAUGGAUCAGUGUGAGGACAGAGAGGAGGGAGUCCCUCCCUCUAAAAGCACUCUGUGUGGGGAACAUGAGAGCCAGACCAAAGCUCAGAGGAACCAACCUGGACCUCCGCCCAGCUCUGUGUCCUUAAAGAGUGAGCGGUCAAUAGAUCACUUCAUUGAAUUUAAAGUCCAGCAUGGGUCUGGUGCAGAGAGGUGAGCUGUUAUUAACAUGGACUCUUUGAUUUAACUGCUUGAUGUUGUUGGAUAUAAACUGCAGUGCAAACACGUCAUUCCCUCAAUCCCAUUUAAACUGCCUCUUAAAGUAAAUUUGAAAAACUACGUGUCAAGAGUAAUUUUCACCAUGAAGCCCUUUUCCAAAAAAACCCCCAAGAAACGAUAGAUAGAUUUAAGUCUCAGGG
rnacentral:lncRNA from 1 species